GAACUUAAGCAUAUCAAUAAGCGGAGGAAAAGAAACUAACAAGGAUUCCCCUAGUAACUGCGAGUGAAGCGGGAAAAGCUCAAAUUUGAAAUCUGGCAGUCUAUUUUUCUUCUUUGGCUGUCCGAGUUGUAAUCUAGAGAAGUGCUUACCUGCACUGGACCAUGUAUAAGUCUCCUGGAAUGGAGCGUCACAGAGGGUGAGAAUCCCGUCUUUGACAUGGACUGCCAGUGUGUUGUGGUGUGCUCUCAAAGAGUCGAGUUGUUUGGGAAUGCAGCUCUAAAUGGGUGGUAAACUCCAUCUAAAGCUAAAUAUUGGCGAGAGACCGAUAGCGAACAAGUACCGUGAGGGAAAGAUGAAAAGGACUUUGGAAAGAGAGUUAAACAGUAUGUGAAAUUGUUGAAAGGGAAACGCUUGAAGUCAGGUAUGUUGGCUAGGGAUCAACCUAGCUGUCUUUUGCUGGGUGAAUUUCCUAGUCUGACAGGCCAACAUCAGUCUUGACUGCUGGAAAAGAGCAGAGGGAAUGUGGCACCUUCGGGUGUGUUAUAGCCCUUUGUCAUAUGUGGCGGUUGGGACUGAGGGAUGCAGCGUGCCGCGAGGCUGGGUUUCGACCACGUUCACGCUUAGGAUGUUGGCUUUUAAUGGCUUCAAUCGACCCGUCUUGAAACACGGACCAAGGAGUCUAACAUGCCUGCAAGUGUUUGGGUGGAAAACCCUUGCGCACAAUGAAAGUGAAAGUUGAGAUCCCUGUCAUGGGGAGCAUCGACGCCCGGACUUGAGCUUUUAGCGACGGAUCCGCGGUAGAGCAUGCAUGUUGGGACCCGAAA
rnacentral:rRNA from 1 species